AAAAGAGUUAAAGCACUUUUCGGGAUAAUGAGUGUCUAAUCAAAGACUGAUCAGUGAUCAUCCUAUUUAUAUUCUAUAGUAUAUGUGAAAUUUUAAAUAAAAAUAAAAAUACGAAGAAAAUUACAUUACAUUUAACAAAAACGUAAUAAAUAAAAAAAAAACAAACCUCUGUGCAACGCAGAGGUCAGACGGUUAAGUGUAAGUGAUAGGGAAUAAACAGGAAAAAAUCAAUCUGUCCGAGUUCAAAUUCCAAAAUUGUUUAUAAAAUGUUUGAAUUUUCCCGGUUAUAAAUGUAAUGUUUCCUAAAUUUUAUAUUACAUUGCAACGUUUAGUUAAAAAUCGCAAUUCGAUGAUUAGUUGAAGAUUUAAUAUUAACGUUGUCUUUUGAAAGUGUUCUGAACAUUUAGCAAAAUCAAAUUUAACAAAAAAAUUAAAGGUUCAGCAUUUUUCACCGCCCUCUUUGUUUUAAAAAAUUAAAAGUUUUCUUAUUAUUUUUUUUUUUUUCCCCCGAUAAUUUCGUAUCACCUGUGCACCGGGUGUCAUCCAGACCGAGAACCCGCCGGUCUAGAUACGUUUUAGACGGGGUUUAUUAUUAUUAUUAUUAUUAUUGUUUUAUUUUUUUUUUUUUUUUUUUUUUUUUGACGCUUAAGUUUUAUUAAAUGUCUGUCGGGAACCGGACCAAUCACAACCCGGCGAAUAAUUCGCACGGUCGGUAACAACGUCGAGCACGGCAUUCACGCACAGUUUUCGGCGUCGGCGGCGGUACGAUUACACCUGUAACGGCGUAAAAUGCACGAAGCGAACACCGAUCGCGUACGAACGCUCGUUCGAGAACCGUUCCGAACGCUUCUGUACGCGCAUACAGGUUUUAAAUGGUUGCCGUUUGCAUUUAGCCGCGUACACGUAAACACGUACACGUAAACACGUAUACUAAAUAUACUGGCUCCGAUAUAAAAUACACAAUAAACGUUCGGAU